rnacentral:ncRNA from 1 species
CUGAUAGAGGCGCAUUGCGUAAUCAGUAACCGCUGUGUUUUUAGGUCGCGCUGACCGAUGACGGCGGUGAAAGGUGCCGAUGCCGAAAUCGUUUUUUGAGCGCAGAAAAACGGUUGGGUCUGCAAAAUAAGAUUUGCAGGACUGUCGCUACAAAGCAGGGAGCUUUUUUGCGGAGUGCUAUCG